rnacentral:tRNA from 4 species
GCCCGGGUGGCGGAAUUGGUAGACGCGCCAGACUCAGAAUCUGGUGUUCGCAAGGACGUGCUGGUUCGACUCCAGUCCCGGGCACCA